CAGAUGAACGCUGGCGGCGUGCUUAACACAUGCAAGUCGAACGAUGAUCUCCAGCUUGCUGGGGGGAUUAGUGGCGAACGGGUGAGUAACACGUGAGUAACCUGCCCUUGACUCUGGGAUAAGCCUGGGAAACUGGGUCUAAUACCGGAUACGACCGUCCCGCGCAUGCGGUGGUGGUGGAAAGCUUUUGCGGUUUUGGAUGGACUCGCGGCCUAUCAGCUUGUUGGUGGGGUAAUGGCCUACCAAGGCGACGACGGGUAGCCGGCCUGAGAGGGUGACCGGCCACACUGGGACUGAGACACGGCCCAGACUCCUACGGGAGGCAGCAGUGGGGAAUAUUGCACAAUGGGCGAAAGCCUGAUGCAGCGACGCCGCGUGAGGGAUGACGGCCUUCGGGUUGUAAACCUCUUUCAGUAGGGAAGAAGCGAAAGUGACGGUACCUGCAGAAGAAGCGCCGGCUAACUACGUGCCAGCAGCCGCGGUAAUACGUAGGGCGCAAGCGUUAUCCGGAAUUAUUGGGCGUAAAGAGCUCGUAGGCGGUUUGUCGCGUCUGCUGUGAAAGACCGGGGCUCAACUCCGGUUCUGCAGUGGGUACGGGCAGACUAGAGUGAUGUAGGGGAGACUGGAAUUCCUGGUGUAGCGGUGAAAUGCGCAGAUAUCAGGAGGAACACCGAUGGCGAAGGCAGGUCUCUGGGCAUUAACUGACGCUGAGGAGCGAAAGCAUGGGGAGCGAACAGGAUUAGAUACCCUGGUAGUCCAUGCCGUAAACGUUGGGCACUAGGUGUGGGGGACAUUCCACGUUUUCCGCGCCGUAGCUAACGCAUUAAGUGCCCCGCCUGGA
rnacentral:rRNA from 1 species